AGACUUCUACAGGGAGCACCCGGACAAGCCUGGCAGGACGCCAGGAGGCGUCCGUUGAGAGGGGGGUACUGUGGUGUUUUACUUUGUUUAGUCGUUUUAUUUUUGUGGAACUUCCGGUUUCCGGAGGCUGUGACUGGCUGCUAACUUUCCUGUGUUCUCCCUGAGGCUUCCUCCCCUUCCCCCCGGUGCUGUGGAGAGUUCACACCUGCAGCGUAUCACUCAUCAGGAGCGCUACUUAAGACCUGCUGCGGCUCUCUACAGCGCCUGAGUCUCGUCUUACCUACCUCACGUGCCUCCUGCCCAGAUCACCGCAGCCAGCUCCAGCACUCUCUCUCCUUCUCGGACUCUUGGAUUCACCCCUCCUGUUUCCACUUACCUGUACAAUAAACCUGUUCUAAACUGC